rnacentral:misc_RNA from 1 species
GCGUCUUGAGAGCACUGGUCAGGUAAAUUCCUGUAUUAUUUUUGUUCAUUUUAUUAUCAGACAUUGGGGCUCCAAUUCUAGACAUUUCCCUUCUGAACUUCGCAUCAUGAUUUUGUGAAGCAUAGCAUUUAAAUGAAAAAUAUAUUGGUGCAUUUAUCCAAUACAUGUCCUUCCCAAUUUUAAUGUCAAACCUAAGUUCUAGAGGUGUUUGCUUUGGUAUCUAGCUAUUAUUUAUUUGGAAUAAAAGAUAUGAUGAGGAAUUGGGGAUUUAUGUCAGUUUACAAUAGCAACAUUUUAAUCAGAAAAGAAUGUCAGUAUGGUAAACUCUUGAUCAAAUAUGACAUUCCUAUCCUACAUUUUUUCAAUAAUGUAAGGCAGUGGAAUCCUAUCUUACAUUUAUGAGAGGCUAUCGAAUUGUUGUCUUCUUUCAUUCCAGUUUGUCCUUGAUGAUAACUUUACUAUUUUCAAGUUUUAGGCUAGUUAGAAAUAGGCCAACACUAGUACACUAAGCUUGUUGAUGUUUUGCACCUACUAUGGGCUCUUGGUACUACAUGGCAUUGCUAAUGUUUUGAAUUUCAAGGGAAGAGAGCGGCUGUAGAUGAUUUUAGUAGCUAAAUAGUAAUGUUGUAUUGGGCUCAAAUUUAUGAUCUAAAGGUUGGUGGGCAUAGAUUUUAAGAUUUGAAUUUCUAUUUUGUACUUUGAGGGACUAGCAACUGAAUGUCAGUGACUUUGGCGGUAGUUUCAGGGUUGAGGUGAUUUUGAU